CAGGAGCAAACUCUGACCUCACUUCAAGUGUUCUCCUAACCUACAUGAAAACAUGGUGUUCUCCCCUAUAAUCCAAGUUCACAAACAUGCAUUCUAAAACAGUUGCCUGGGGGUGAAUCUAUUACCUGCCACACUACAUUCAAAGAGAAGCCAACAUAAAUGGCACUAUAUACUAAUAUUUUGGUCUGUGGACCGGAAGUUUGGCCCAUCAUUUUUUUUUAAUAAUAUUAACACAGAGGUAAGAUUUCUGCUAGGAUUAACAGGUGGGGCCACUUAUUACCCAAUUAAACAAGUAAAAACUCUUAAAAAGUUUGUCCAAAAAGUUACAAACCGGAAUUCUCUUCUCCCUUCUACGGACAAUGAAGAAAGUGAGUAGGGUAGAAGGCAGCCCUCUGUCACUACAGUCACCUAGUGACACCACUGCAGAGCAGCAGUGGUCAUGGCGGGGUGGCUCAGCUUUAGAGCAAAUUAGGAUGGCUGGAGCAGUGUGCUCUGGGACCAAGUAUUAUCUUUAAUUUUUAGGAAAGCAGCAUAGAAAACGCUGUCUUAUGAACAAGGAUUUAUAAAGAUGUUUCAUCUACAUAAGUGAAUUUACUUUGCUUUCCCAAGUAAGAUCAGUAACAAACUUCACAGAGCUACGUUAUUCAACUGGCCUUGACAUUCAUUAUAUAAGCUCAGAUAGAGAAAUAAGGAACCUAGUUAUUUUAAUACCUUCUAUCAAAUACUAUCAUGUCAAGCGGGUUGCUUUUAGAAAGACAUACUAUACUCAACACAUUUAAUAUGAGAAAAAUGCUGUGAUGUAUUUAAUCCUACUAUAAACGUUAUUAGAGCCAACCGUAAACGCUCUUUGGCUUUGAAAGCUGCUACAUUAAGUGGAAUGAUCUAACUCAACUGUUCUUUCCCCUUCUGCAGUAUCACAUAAUGAACUUACUCAAACUUUACUUCUUUUAUGCCCUGCUUUAACACUGUAAAAGUAGCCACAUCUCACACAAAGAAGUGUCCCAAUUAAGCCUAUUUAGCAAGAUAAAGUUUGGCUUAUUAACUUUUUAAUACUAUUUUGACUAGUAUAUAAUAUAGUUUCUACUUAAGUGCUUUUAAUACUACAGAGAGAGAAAUGAAACCAGUAACUUUGGCAUUAGCAGGUAAUAACAUAAUCAAUUUGAAAUAUGGAACAGAUUGUCAAAGAAUAUCCUUUUUAAUAAGAGGUUCUCAUGAGUUUACUCUUGGUGGAAAAAAAAAGUUGACUAUCAGACUAGUUUAAAUAUUUGUCUUACACGCUUAGUCUGAGAAUGAAUGCACACUGUUAUUUUCUUCCUUUGAAUCUCAUUUUUCUAAAUAAGAAAGUUAAACUUAACAAAUUAAAAUUACACACUUUCAGACAUCAAUACAGGUCAAAACACCCCAAUUAAAUGACUCCUUGUUGGGGACUGAAACCAGGGCUUCACAACUGCUACACACGUGGUCUAACUACAAAGCCACACCCUAACCCCAGUUCUUAUUUACUAAACAAGAAUUGUAUCACCCAAAUAUGUAUAUUAGCUAAGUGUCUAUACAGUAAGACAGUGAGUUUCUAAUUAAAAAGGAGCAGCAUAAAUCUACAACACUAUUCAUUAUUCAUAAUGAUUUUAAUUAUUCCUAGGAAAGCUAACCUGUCUUCUUAUAAAACUUAACUUAAAAGGCAUAGAAUUUAUUCUCUUUAGCUAAAAAUAAAGCUAUCCAAUUAAAAACUUUCAUUCAACUUACUUUUUUGAAAAGAUUACCACAUUUAGUUCAAGUAUAUGCCCUUGAUCGCUUUCCAAGUCACAUAAUCCCUCACUUUAAGAUCACUACAUAUAAAAAAUAUUUUAAAUUACUCAGAGUACAAAAGUUUUAAUACUCAACGAGUAACUUUAAUAUUUCUCUGUAAAUAAACAAGGUCAGAAAGCAAACAACAGGUAUUUCUCACUUAACUAAAAUUAAUUUCCAGAUACAAUGUGUAAUAGGCCAACAUUAAAAUUUAGGUAAGCAAGAGAAUGUUAUCUUGUUAUCUUACUGUAAGCUCUGCUUACUGUGACUGCUCUGGCACCAGAGUACAGACAACUAGCUAAUCAUCAAAUUACUUACUGGCCUGGAUAAAGAAUAUAGGCAUUAUCUAUAGGUUUUAGCUGUUGGUUCUUAAAAAUGAAAAAAAAAUAAUAAAAAAUUAAAAAGCAGGGGCUGGAGAGAUGGCUCAGCGGUUAAGAACACCAACUGCUCUUCUGAAGUCUCUGAAUUCAAAUCCCAGCAACCACAUAGUGGCUCACAACCAUCUGUAAUGAGAUCUGACACCCUAUUCUGGAGUGUCUGAAGACAGCUACCAUGUACUCACAUAUAAUAAAUAAAUAAACAAACAAAUAAAUAAACCUAAAAAAAAGCUAACUGGUUCUUUAUAGUAUUAGUUUCUUUUAACAAAAAAAAAAUAGUUAAAUAGCAAAACAGACAUUAUUAGGCUAAUUAAAUCUGGAAAAAUAUAACUUAUUAACCCAAGAAAUAAAACAAAACAAAUGGAUAAAUAAAACAAAAUUAUGUGGUAAGGAAGUUUGUGGUUAGCCACAACUAAACAUGUUUUCUCGCUACAUUUACAACAAGCACACACUGGUGUUGGGCAUGGUAAUCCUAAAGCUUAGAAAUUGCCUACCUGUUUCUAAUUCUGUACUUUAGUUUUGUUACAUU
rnacentral:lncRNA from 1 species